UAUUACGAGGUGAGCAAAACGAAAUUAAAAGUGGAUAUUACCGUAGCCGGUGCACGUUCAUCCUUUUCAGAAGUACAAUAAUGGGAGAUUUUAAUGCAAACGACAAUUUACCUUUAUGUAGUUUAAGACUAAUGUACAACGCAACAGUUGCAUUCUGUAUUCUCCCUAUUUGGUUAGUGAAAAGUGGAUUUAGGUGGAUUCAAAUAAUUAAAUUGUAUAGGUUCAUCAUACUGUUGAUAGUUUGGGUUAGAUUAGAUAUGAUCCAACUUUAAUGUCACUUAACACAGGGAGUACAGGUAGAACAAAAACAGUUUAGUGCCAUAGAUAUGAAAUAUGUGUAAUUCAGUGUACAUGAUAAAUUCUGACUACUAAGAGAAUGUGCAAUGAGAAUGCCUGUUACUUAAUAUCAACAGGCCAGUCAUCCUCUUGACCGACCCUAAGGUACCACACAGCACCUGAUACUGUGUAAUUAACCCCACUUGACCUACUCAGGUGAAUGAGCACUACUAAUAUUCUUUUGUGGACAUUUAUAAAAAGACAAUCCCACAUAGAGUGUUUUUACAUUAUGUGAAGAAUGAAACUGACGAUUGUUUAAUGUACUGAGUAUUUGUAUGCCUUUGGGACUGUCUGGUAAUAAACAUACUAAAACAGAAAUAAAAAACAAUAAUGGCAAAAGUAUGGUGAGGUACGGGGAUAUGAAUAGAUUUCUGUUAACAAAAAUGUAGACAGGAAAAACUCUCAACUUGCUUGUGGCAAUAAGUACAAGUCAUGAUUUGCAGCAUUGCAUUCUCCGUCUGUGCACCGUGACAGCAUAGAUGGUAAAAUGUAGCAGGGAUGCCACCGGUGUAAGUAGUGUGGGUAGAAUACAUAUAAUCAGUUAUGUACACACACCUGCAUUUAACCAAAGUGAGGCAUUUGCUGUCUAAUGUGUUUUUUUGCUUUAAUGCAACACUGCUACAGCUCUAUGUAUUCUGUCUGUACAUCUUCCUCAAUAAACAUUUGGUACUUGCAGAGAUAGCCAUGUAUCUCACACUGUGCUCUGUUUUUACUGUACAGAAUACAGUGUGAGAUACUGGUAAGUCAGUAUAUAAUAUUGUCAUUAAUUGAGUCUCUAUGCCUAAAGUAGCCUUGUGGUGGGUCUUGUUUCACCACUAAUUUACCUUAAUGAACAGCUAUAUGCAUAGGUGGUAAAAAUGUUGAAAGUAACUUUUGCCUCCUUUAGUAAAGAUGAACCUAAUGAUAAAAAGAAUUGGCAUUCAUUCAACAAUUCUGGUUGUGCUGCAAUCCAGCAGAACCACUUCAUGGUAAGUUAUCACAAAACAUAAAAGAUGUUUAUUAACAUGUUAAAGUGGCUUAUAAAUGAAAUAGUCUAGAUUUGUAUUUCUUUACCUUACAUAAACAGAAACUGUAGCCGGGCAUUGAACUGAGGGGCUAAUUGGAUCAAAAUAAUAUAACCUUUGGUAGGCAAAUUGCAGCAUGAAUAAGGAACUACUAAUAACUGAAACUUAACAUAACAAUUUCAAAUUUGUGGUAUCAAAUCUAAAACAGUAUAUAUAGAGAGAGAGAGAGAGAGAGAGAGAGAGAGAGAGGACGAUCGGACUUGGACGUCGCGCGGCCCAUACACAGACCGAAGCCCGUGCGCCCGUGACUGGAUCCACCGGAUGCAAAAGAAAGUACAGCCAGAGAAAUAGGAA